UGCUCUUGGAGUCUUUGAGCAGGCUGGC
rnacentral:piRNA from 1 species